AGUGAACGCUGGCGGCAGGCCUAACACAUGCAAGUCGAACGGCAGCACAGGAGAGCUUGCUCUCUGGGUGGCGAGUGGCGGACGGGUGAGGAAUAUAUCGGAAUCUACCCUUUCGUGGGGGAUAACGUAGGGAAACUUACGCUAAUACCGCAUACGAACUGAGGUUGAAAGCGGCGGACCGCAAGGCGUCGCGCGGAUGGAUGAGCCGAUAUCCGAUUAGCUAGUUGGCGGGGUAAAGGCCCACCAAGGCGACGAUCGGUAGCUGGUCUGAGAGGAUGAUCAGCCACCCUGGAAGUGAGACACGGUCCAGAAUCCUACGGGAGGCAGGAGUGGGGAAUAUUGGACAAUGGGCGAAAGCCUGAUCCAGCCAUGCCGCGUGUGUGAAGAAGGCCUUCGGGUUGUAAAGCACUUUUGUUGGGAAAGAAAAGCGGUCGGUUAAUACCCGGUCGUUCUGACGGUACCCAAAGAAUAAGCACCGGCUAACUUCGUGCCAGCCGCCGCCGUAAAAC
rnacentral:rRNA from 1 species